UCGUCCCUUUCGCACAGAGCAUCCACGGUGGAGGACAGCUGCUUCAGAACUUCUCCACAACGAACCUCUGCCGCAGCUGCCCUCUCGUCAGACUCUUGGAGAACCCUCCUGAUGUGAGACAAUUCUGCUUCUAGAGACUGGGCAUGCUUUCGCACCUCAGAUGUCUCCUCCUCUGCCUUCUUACGGGCCUCCUUGGCUGCGUGUAAAUCGAACUGGAGGGACCUAUAGUCCUCUUGGACUGGGGCGAGAUUGCCCCGGGCAUCGCUGGACGCGGAUAAAUUCUCCUCAAGACGUGCUUCCUCGAUCCGACGGUCCACUGAGUCCUUGAGGGCACGAUCCUGGGCAUCCAUCUCCAUGAAUAUGCCAGUAACCUAGUAAACAAGAAG
rnacentral:lncRNA from 1 species